rnacentral:lncRNA from 1 species
AGAGAACAUAUUUGAGAGAAGUUUAGAAAGGAGAAUGACUGAUUAACUCUUCGUGGUAUUAUGAUUGCUCUCCUCCCGCAGGAACCAGUCAUAACCAAUUUCAAAGCCUUUGGCUUGGAAUGUCCUAAACACAUUGCACAAAGCUACUCUGCAUGGUUAUCUUUAAUCACGUCACAUAGGAACCAAUUAUGAUGUAGAAUGUUGCCACUCAAAGUGUGAUCUUUGGAGAAAAGCAUUAUCACCUACUGGAAACCUGUGAGAAAUGCAGAAUCUCCAUCCCCACCCCAGAAAUGCUGAAUCGGAUUCUGCGUUUAAUCAAGGACCUCAGAAAGGAAAUGAGAUCAACCAGAUAACCUUCUUGGAUUCCUUCAAGUGUUGACUCCACAGUACCUUAUUUUCAAGGUCAAGCAAGUAAGCAAUAUGCACAGGAGUAGCCCAUGAAGUGCGAUUUGAGGGAUAUCGAGUUGCUAAACCCUGAAGAAGGUGCCCAAAUGUGACCGACGCUGCCAUUCACAGUAAAAGGCCAAACAAGAUGGCCAGGCCCUUUGCCCUCAUUAAGAAUGUAAUCUAGAGCUGUAGUCCUCAAGCAUUUAUCAUCACAUACCCAUCAAUAAAAUUUGUUGAGUGUGCAC